GCGUCGGUAGUCAUCCACCCAUCCACUUGCGUGGCAAGGCGAGGCAACAGCCGGGCCGGUUGUCGCAAUUGAGCGGGCCUAGCUCGUCCUACUAGUAUGAGGAUCGGCACAGUAUGUUGCGUAAUCCUACCACUAACUGUGGAGAGGUAGAGGCAACACAUGUUCCGGUUGUUCUCAAAUUCGGAGAGCAUUAUUAGGGUCAGGUCGAGGCAACCAAAAGGGCCACGAGCCUUUAUCAUGAGCAACAUCCGAAACCAACAGCGGGAGCGAGGCUGCCUUGAUAGCACCAGGCACGAAACAUGCCAGCACCAAGAGGCAACGCCGCAAGCGCCAUAUGGCCGCAGCAGCACACCCAAAGGCGUCCACCGCGAGGCAACUGUGUAUGAAGCACCAAUACCCGUAGGUCGGGUAACAUCACGCAAGCACUUGAAAGGCAACAGUAAGAUAGCUCACACGAAUGAAAAGACACGGCGCCGGUAGUCGGCCGCACGAAGAC
rnacentral:misc_RNA from 1 species